rnacentral:lncRNA from 1 species
UGCAUACUUACUAUUUCCAAUGUUACAAUUAAGAGGUUAAGCAUAAACCAUUACAAAUGCCUUGAGUUUAAUAUAAGUCUAUUCAGCAACACCAAACUCGCAUGUCAAUAGGUUCAUCAACAACACAUAUAAAAUCAUUUACAACAUAAGUAGAAUUUCAUAAGAUACAUUACAUAAGUAUCAACUCUUUCAUAUAAUCAUGAACCUUUUCAUUAAGUCACUUACUGUUCCAUUCUUUUCCUUAUUCGUUGAAUCAUCUAGAAUUACAUCGGAUACUCGGGGAAGCUCACAUGAAGUGUGCCUUUACAUAAAAUCGUAAUCUUUUCUUUACAUGAAUGCUCACACGAGCUGUGAAGUGGGCCUACUCACAUGAGUAGUGAGUCGAAAUGCAAGCUACAUGAUGUUGCUCACACGAAUUGUGGAGAAUCUGCAACAAAUGCAGGACCUCAGCAUCGGUAGGACAUUUAAGACUAGCACCCCAAACAUGAAAUCCUUAAUGACAUAUCAUUUGUAUCCUAAUAAUUCCUAAAGUUCAAUCGAGACUCGAUAUCUGUCAAUUCGUCAUAAUGUGGAUACAUUCUCAUAUAUAUUAAUUCAUUUAUAUUAAAAAAAAAACAUAGUAAACAUUUAAUUUAAAUAACAUUAUAAUGAUUACAAUUCAUACGAACUUACCAGGCUAAAUUGCUGCAUUGACUAAGUACAUGGGAUAUUUGGUAAUUUUCUCUUCUCUUCGACUUUCUACUUGUUCUUGAUCUAAAAUAAUAAUUCCAUUCAAUUCACUAAAUCUAACAGAAAAAUCAAUUCACAUAACUCGUAUUUGCACUAGUAAUCUCUAUUGGUAUGCAAAACGUGUCUUAAACCUUUUACCAAAUUUACAAGGACAUUACUCAAUCAAACAUAUUAAUCUAUCGUUUCCAAAAGUCUUAAAAGUUUCAUAGAAAAUUAAUCAUUAAUUCAAUAAAUAACGCCUUUUAUCUUUCACUAGACUUGUCUUAUCAUUAACAUUACCCAAAUUUCAUAUAUCAUCAUUAGUCACAUUAAUUCAAUAAAUGGCACUUUUAUCUUUCACCAUUCUUGAAUCAUAUUUUCAUACAUAGGCAUUUACUUACAAUUACCUUUCAUGCUUAAAAUUCAUUUCUAAAGACUAACAAUGGUAAACUAAGCAAAACCUUAACAAUAUCCAUGAUCUAAUGAUUGGGUCUUAUUUAUUUAUCUAUUGAUUUAAACUAAAAAUUCAUCAAAAAUUCAAAGGAAAAUUAUCCUUACCUUGGUAGUUGAUGUACGGCAAUCGAGAGCUUAAACUUGAAAAUUCUAUGUUCUUUCCCCCUUCGACGGUGGAAGCAGAUGAAAUGAAGUUUUCCAUUUACCAUUCUCAAUCCCACUCAUGUGUAAGUAUAUAUAUAUAUAUAGGCAAGUUUAAUCUAAUUUAUUUAAACCAUAAUUCAUAAUUUAUGUGGUAAUUAUCUCAUGGAAAUCUACA